rnacentral:rRNA from 1 species
AACGAACGCUGGCGGCGUGCCUAACACAUGCAAGUCGUACGUGAAAUCCACCUUCGGGCGGAGAGUAAAGUGGCGCACGGGUGAGUAACGCGUGGGUAAUCUACCCUAGGAUUCGGGAUAACCAGCCGAAAGGCUGGCUAAUACCGGAUAAUGUCUUGAUAUCUAAGUACCAAGACCAAAGGAGGCAUUUGCUUCCGUCUUUGGAUGAGCCCGCGUACCAUUAGCUAGUUGGUAGGGUAACGGCCUACCAAGGCUACGAUGGUUAGCUGGUCUGAGAGGACGAUCAGCCACACUGGAACUGAGACACGGUCCAGACUCCUACGGGAGGCAGCAGUGGGGAAUAUUGCGCAAUGGGGGAAACCCUGACGCAGCGACGCCGCGUGAGCGAUGAAGGCCUUCGGGUCGUAAAGCUCUGUCAGGUGGGAAGAAACCUCUGUCCAUGAAUAAUGGGCGGAACUGACGGUACCACCAGAGGAAGCACCGGCUAACUCCGUGCCAGCAGCCGCGGUAACACGGAGGGUGCAAGCGUUGUUCGGAAUCACUGGGCGUAAAGGGCGCGCAGGCGGUCCGGUCAGUCGGAAGUGAAAUCCGUCGGCUCAACCGACGAACGGCUUCCGAUACUACCGGACUUGAGUACGGGAGAGGAAAGCGGAAUUCC